GCUGUUCGCCCAUUAAAGCGGCACGCGAGCUGGGUUCAGAGCGUGGUGAGACCGUUGGGUCCCUAUCCGACGCGGGGGCAGGAAAUUUGAGAGUGGGUGUCCUUAGUACGAGGGGACCGGGGUGGACGCGCCGCUGGUGUACCAGUUGAUCCGCUAGGAGCAUCGCUGGGUAGCUAUUUGUGGCAGGGAUAAACGCUGAAAGCAUCUAAGCGUGAAGCCCCCCUCAAGAUGAGAUUUCCCAUUUCUUCGGAAAGU
rnacentral:rRNA from 1 species